AUGCAAGUAGGAACAAUUCAGAGAAGACUUUGGAUUUAGGAAAAAUAAUUCCUUCAGGUGAACUUCCCCAUAUCCAGGCAUGAGCAGGUGUUCUAGUUUUAACUGACAAUAUCAUAACUCUAUCAGGCAAAGUUAUCCCCAAAAGCUCCCUGAAAUUGUACAAUUUAUACUAGACAGUAGAUACAGUCCCUGCACCGGGAGGAAAAAAAACAACAAACAUCAACUAUCUUCUGAAGUACCUUGCCAGGGUCAAGAUCACUGGUACUCCACACUGGACCUUCUCUACGUCUUGUUGCUCAGAAGCUAUGAUUCUAACAGUACUGUGCUGUAAAAAUCUGGACUAAAUCUAGUAAAGAAGGAGAUCAUUUGUAAGUUA